UACGGAAGGCAGCAGGGGGAAUAUUGCACAAUGGGCGCAAGCCUGAUGCAGCCAUGCCGCGUGUAUGAAGAAGGCCUUCGGGUUGUAAAGUACUUUCAGUCGUGAGGAAGGUGUUAAGGUUAAUAACCUUAGCUAAUUGACGUUAGCGACAGAAGAAGCACCGGCUAACUCCGUGCCAGCAGCCGCGGUAAUACGGAGGGUGCGAGCGUUAAUCGGAAUUACUGGGCGUAAAGGGCACGCAGGCGGUUAAUUAAGUUGGAUGUGAAAUCCCCGGGCUUAACCUGGGAAUGGCAUUCAAGACUGGUUAGCUAGAGUCUUGUAGAGGGGGUAGAAUUCCAUGUGUAGCGGUGAAAUGCGUAGAGAUGUGGAGGAAUACCGGUGGCGAAGGCGGCCCCUGGACAAAGACUGACGCUCAUGUGCGAAAGCGUGGGGAGCAAACAGGGAUUAGAUACC
rnacentral:rRNA from 1 species